rnacentral:rRNA from 1 species
GGUAACGCAGCUAACGCGUGAAGUAGACCGCCUGGGGAGUACGGUCGCAAGAUUAAAACUCAAAGGAAUUGACGGGGACCCGCACAAGCGGUGGAUGAUGUGGAUUAAUUCGAUGCAACGUGAAAAACCUUACCUACCCUUGACAUGGAAGGAAUCCUUGAGAGAUUGAGGAGUGCCCGAAAGGGAACCUUUACACAGGUGCUGCAUGGCUGUCGUCAGCUCGUGUCGUGAGAUGUUGGGUUAAGUCCCGCAACGAGCGCAACCCUUGUCAUUAGUUGCUACGAAAGGGCACUCUAAUGAGACUGCCGGUGACAAACCGGAGGAAGGUGGGGAUGACGUCAAGUCCUCAUGGCCCUUAUGGGUAGGGCUUCACACGUCAUACAAUGGUACAUACAGAGGGCCGCCAACCCGCGAGGGGGAGCUAAUCCCAGAAAGUGUAUCGUAGUCCGGAUUGUAGUCUGCAACUCGACUACAUGAAGUUGGAAUCGCUAGUAAUCGCGGAUCAGCAUGUCGCGGUGAAUACGUUCCCGGGUCUUGUACACACCGCCCGUCACACCAUGGGAGCGGGUUUUACCAGAAGUAGGUAGCUUAACCGCAAGGAGGGCGCUUACCACGGUAGGAUUCGUGACUGGGGUGAAGUCGUAACAAGGUAGCCGUAUCGGAAGGUGCGGCUGGAUCACCUCCUU